GAUGAAGAACGCAGCGAAAUGCGAUAAGUAAUGUGAAUUGCAGAAUUCAGUGAAUCAUCGAAUCUUUGAACGCACAUUGCGCCCGCCAGUAUUCUGGCGGGCAUGCCUGUUCGAGCGUCAUUUCAACCAUCAAGCCCCAGGCUUGUGUUGGGGACCUGCGGCUGCCGCAGGCCCUGAAAACCAGUGGCGGGCUCGCUGUCACACCGGGCGUAGUAGAUUUUAUCUCGCUCAGGGCGUGCUGCGGGUUCCGGCCGUUAAAAAGCCUUUACCCAAGGUUGACCUCGGAUCAGGUAGGAAUACCCGCUGAACUUAAGCAUAUCAAUAAGCGGAGGA
rnacentral:misc_RNA from 1 species